AUUGAACGCUUGCGGCCGGCCUAACACAUGCAAGUCGAACGAGUGGCGGACGGGUGAGUAAUGUUUGGGAAACUGCCCGAUGGAGGGGGAUAACUACUGGAAACUGUAGCUAAUACCGCAUACCAUCGGAUGUGCCCAAGUGGGAUUAGCUAGUAGGUGGGGUAAAGGCUCCCCUAGGCGACGCUCCCUAGCUGGUCUGAGAGGAUGACCAGCCACACUGGAACUGAGACACGGUCCAGACUCCUACGGGAGGCAGCAGUGGGGAAUAUUGCACAAUGGGCGCAAGCCUGAGGCAGCCAUGCCGCGUGUAUGAAGAAGGCCUUCGGGUUGUAAAGUACUUUCAGCGGGGAGGCGUUAACCGCAGAAGAAGCACCGGCUAACUCCGUGCCAGCAGCCGCGGUAAUAC
rnacentral:rRNA from 1 species